GAGGGUGUAGCUCAAGUGGUGGAGAGUAUGCUUGGCAUGCCUGAGGUCCUGGGUUCAAUCCCCGGUACCUCCU
rnacentral:tRNA from 1 species